rnacentral:rRNA from 1 species
AUGCGUAUGUUGAGAUGGAUGUGUGGCCACACGAGGAAGGAUCGAGUCCGGAAUGAUGAUAUACGAGAUAGAGUUGGGGUAGCACCAAUUGAGGAGAAGCUUGUCCAACAUUGUUUGAGAUGGUUUGGGCAUAUUCAGCGCAGGCCUUCAGAAGCUCCAGUGCAUAGCGAACGGCUAAAGCGUGCGGAGAAUGUCAAGAGAGGGCGGGGUCGAUCGAAUUUGACAUGGGAGGAGUCCGUUAAGAAAGACCUGAAGGAUUGGAGUAUCGACAAAGAGCUAGCUAUGAACAGGGGUGCGUGA